UGUCGAAGUUUUCCUCGUCAGUUAACUGCAGCCGGUUUUUCAAAAUUUCGGCAAUUAACUGUCGAGGGGCAU
rfam:Medicago truncatula strain A17 chromosome 2, whole genome shotgun sequence.